GUACUUGCUCUUAGUCUGUUCGUUGGUCAGUCAUUGUGGUUGUAUUGUACGUGUAACCUAUAGUUCACAUUGGUCUUGUCACGGAUCAGCCCCGGGGCUCCCCAACUGAUGUCAGGAAGCCCAUGCCUCCGGGGAUUCCUUGAUCCACUUUUCUCCAUUUUUGCGAGCUGUCAGUUUGGCGCAGCUAUACCGGGUUGUCCGGUUUCUCCAGUUUUCUGUGCAACCACCUACCGCAAGCUGUUGCAGGUUUUCCAAAUACGGGAGACUAUUUUAGUCAUCGGAUCUUGCACUCUGAUGCGAGAUCUUCUAGAGUUUUCUCUGAGCUUUCCGAUUUCUGCUUCUCUGAGUCUUCUGACCCGUGUUCUGCCUCAUUGACCCACGAGUUUUUGUUCAGCCCCUCUGAUGCCGGAUGCCUGUACCCGGACCACGAGCCUAGCCAAGCCCCACUGAUGCCGGAUGCCUGUACCCGGACCACGAGCCUAGCCAAGCCCCACUGAUGCCGGAUGCCUGUACCCGGACCACGAGCCUAGCCAAGCCCCACUGAUGCCGGAUGCCUGUACCCGGACCACGAGCCUAGCCAAGCCCCACGAUUGGCCCCGCGCAUCGCCUGAUCCCAGCCUGCCCCAUGACAACGAUCCUGUCAGCUUCUUGGGAAGAACAGCCUUCUUUUUAUAUUAAAGUCUCUCUGCAUCUGAUUCCGCAACAGCAUCUGUACCUUUUCCUGCCACAUGAUCAUGAACAUUUCAUUACUGCCCAUAUGUUCCAGCCCUCUCCAGAUCCCAGCAAGUGCAUCAGACGCAGGUCACCGGGGCUCUGCCAUGGAGCCAGGCCUGGGGGUGGGGCUCGAUGGCGAGUGCCUGGUGGCCAGGCCUGCACCCAUGGGGCCUACCCGGGCUCAGCCAGGAAGAAGGAACAUGGGACCCCCCUCCAAUGGGCUCACUACCUGUAGGAGGUGCCAAGGGGGUCGGGUGCAGUGUGAGUAGACCGGUGGCCGAAGCCAGUGGCUGAAGAUCUGGUCCCUUGGCUGCAGAAGCUAGCUCUAGGGACGUGGAAUGUUACCUCUCUGGUGAGGAAGGAGCCUUAGCUGGUACACGAGGUUGUGAAGUUCCAACUAGAUAUAGUUGGGCUCAGCUCGACUCACGGCUUGGGAUCUGGAAGCAAUCUCUUUGAGGGGGGGGGGUGGACCCUCUUCCACACUGAAGUUGCUCGUGGGGAGAGGCGCCGGGCAGGAGUGGGCAUACUUAUUGCCCCCCCGCUGGGUGCCGGUACAUUGGGGUUUACCGUGGUGGACGAGAGGGUAGCCUCCCUUCGCCUUCAGGUGGGAGGUUAGGUCCUGACUGUUGUUUGCACUUUUGCACCGAGCAGCAGUUCAGAAUACUCACCCUUUCGGCAGUCCUUGGAAGGGGUGUCGGAGAGCACUCCUCCUGGGCACUCCCUUGUUCUGCUGGGGGACUUCAAUGCUUAUGUAGGUAAUGACAGUGAGACCUGGAGGGGCGUCAAUCUACGUUCCUACCCUCACCUAUGUUCAUGAGCUAUGGGUUGUGACCGAAAGAACGAGAUCACGAAUAUAAGCGGCCGAAAUGAGUUUUCUCCGCAGGGUGGCUGGGCUCUCCCUUAGAGAUAGGGUGAGGAGCUCGGUCAUUCGGGAGAGACUCGGAGUAGAGCCGCUGCUCCGCCGCAUCGAGAGGAGCCAGAUGAGGUGGCUCGGGCAUCUGCUUAGGAUGCCUCCUGGACGCCUCCCUGGUUAGGUGUUCCGGGCAUGUCCCACUGGGAGGAGGCCCCGGGGAAGACCCAGGAUGCGCUGGUGAGACUAUGUCUCUUGGCUGGCCUGGAAACAUCUCAGGAUCCCCCCAGAGGAGCUGGAUAAAGUGGUCGGAGUGAGACAAGUCUGGGUUUUCCUGCUUAGACUGCUGCCCCCGCGACCCGACAUGGAAAAGUGGUAGAAGAUGGAUGAUGGAUAAUACAGUCAAAUGAUAUCAAAUCACGAUAAGUAUAAGUACUAUAGUUGACUGCAACAAAACAAUUCAAUUUAAUUUCAUUUGUAUAGCGCAUUUGCACAACAUUAUAUUUUCACAAGGUGCAUCCCCACCCAAGGCCUCCAGUGAACAAGCCAGAAGUGAUAGUGCCAAAGAAGGAAGAAACCUUGUGAGGAACCAGACUCAAGGGGGGAGCCCAUCCUCCAGGAGCCGGCAGAGGAAGUCAAAUGAGCAAGAAGACGAGAUCCCAAUUCACACUGUCCCAAUUUUAAUAUUUGAGCCUCAAAGCAGGGGGCAAGCAGGUGAUGGCUGGGAGUUGCUGGUGCUGCUUCAUAUGACGGGAUGAACAGUGGUAUGGUAGCAGGGCAAGCAGGGAAAAUGUCACAGGCAGAAGGGCGAACAGGCCGGAAAGACGGCACAGGUAAUGGAGACAUUGCAAGCAGCAGGGUAGGCAGGAUAUCUUAAUAAUUUUGGUAAAAUUUGAUAUCUUGAUAAAAAAACAUAUCAAGACCUAAUAUAAACUAAUGAGCAAAUAAAUAUACUCAAACAAGCCUCAAACUGCCCAUCCCACAAUACAGAAAUGAGUGAAUACAAAUAAUGACCCAGUAGAGCCAUUUAUACACACAGUGGGGUACACACGUCAACAUGACUAACAACACCAUCCCAAAAGGGUUAACUACAAUAAAGUCUCCCCUCGCUUGGCAGCCGCUUGGUGAGAUAUCGGGCGCUCAUUACCCUUAGCCGUCAGUCACGCCUUCGCUUGCCGCAGGACAGGACCUGGCCAACCACCAGGUAACUCAAGAGAAAACACAAAUUAAUCACAACAGAAAAUAUCUUCAUACUAUCUGCAAGUGUGCACUCCAUGUCAGGCAAUACAAAGAUAACAUAAAUGAACUCUUAACAAAACCAAACUGUGUGAUGAUUAUUUACUUAAAUAUGAUGUGAUUGCAAAUGAAAUUAAUAGCACAAAUAAUGAUUGAAAUGAGAG